AACUAGCCCCGAUAGAAGCGGCAUCCUUUUUUUGCGAGGCGGCGGAGCGUAGCGGAGCUGACCGAGUAAAAAAAGAUAUAGCGGAUAGCGGGAAAUAGC
rfam:Chryseobacterium bovis DSM 19482 genome assembly, contig: LX71DRAFT_scaffold00010.10